rnacentral:rRNA from 1 species
AUGAAAAGCACUUUGAAAAGAGGGUGAAAAGAACCUGAAACCGUCACGGGGGAAGCGGAUUGCGUUGGCCUGGUGGGCGCUUGUGUGUUCAGCCUUCGGGUGCAUUGGCACAAGUGCUUAUCCGCCGUGGGUUUUCGGGGGUCGAAUUUGGACCCCUGGAGGCUGAGGGCUCCCUUCGGGUUGAGGACGGCGGAGUGACGACGCGAUACGACCCGUCUUGAAACACGGACCAAGGAGUCUAGCGCGGGUGCGAGUCGGAGGGUGCAAGCCCGUGGGCGAAGUGAAAGCGAGUUUUAAAAACGAGCAGUUUGGGGCGGCAUAAGAUCGUUGAUCUUAAGACUGACCCGGAGCAGUUGCGCUGGGACCCGAAAGAUGGUGAACUAUGCCGGAGUAGGGCAAAGCCAGAGGAAACUCUGGUGGAGGCUCGUAGCGGUGCUGACGUGCAAAUCGCUCGUCCAACUUGGGUAUAGGGGCGAAAGACUAAUCGAACCAUCUAGUAGCUGGUUCCCUCCGAAGUUUCUCUCAGGAUAGCGGGCCGACAUAAGUUGUUUUGUGC